rnacentral:rRNA from 1 species
UCGGGGUACACGAGUGGCGAACGGGUGAGUAACACGUGAGUAACCUGCCCUGGACUCUGGGAUAAGCAUUCGAAAGGGUGUCUAAUACUGGAUAUGACCUGUGACCGCAUGGUUGUGGGUGGAAAGAUUUUUUGGUCUGGGAUGGGCUCGCGGCCUAUCAGCUUGUUGGUGGGGUGAUGGCCUACCAAGGCGUCGACGGGUAGCCGGCCUGAGAGGGCGACCGGCCACACUGGGACUGAGAUACGGCCCAGACUCCUACGGGAGGCAGCAGUGGGGAAUAUUGCGCAAUGGGCGGAAGCCUGACGCAGCAACGCCGCGUGCGGGAUGACGGCCUUCGGGUUGUAAACCGCUUUCACCCAUGGCGAAGCUUUUGUGACGGUAGUGGGAGAAGAAGCACCGGCCAACUACGUGCCAGCAGCCGCGGUGAUACGUAGGGUGCGAGCGUUGUCCGGAAUUAUUGGGCGUAAAGAGCUUGUAGGCGGUUUGUCGCGUCGGAAGUGAAAACUCGGGGCUUAACUUCGAGCUUGCUUCCGAUACGGGCUGACUAGAGGGAGUUAGGGGAGAACGGAAUUCCUGGUGGAGCGGUGGAAUGCGCAGAUAUCAGGAGGAACACCGGUGGCGAAGGCGGUUCUCUGGGACUUUCCUGACGCUGAGAAGCGAAAGCGUGGGGAGCAAACAGGCUUAGAUACCCUGGUAGUCC